GGAUAAAGAACAUGAAGGAGGAUAAGUUUCCACACUUCACCUAAACUUGUGUAAUGCUGAUGCCAAGAGACGGUGGUAAGAAAGGUGUGUUCCUAAAGGCCUCUGACUAGAAGACACUGACUCUGAGAAUCACAUAACGAUCUGAAGACUUAAAAGCUGUCCAUCAGCCCCUCGUCCCUGGAAAAAGGAAACCUGAAGGCUGCAAACUUCAAAGUAGGUCAAGGAAAGAUCGGCCUGUCCGCCUGAAGCCUAGAAGGCCGGCUGAUAAGAACCCAGCGCACCCUGGCGCCCUGGUCUCCACCGCGUGGCAGGAAGGACGUGCACCAUCAAACCUGGGCUGCACGGAGGGAGAAUGUUCUUGGUAGGCCUCAACCAAUCAAAGGCCUGAAUAGAGCCAAAGACUGACCUCCCAGGGACAGAAGGAAUUCUGCCAGCAGAUGGGCCUCAGACUGCACCUGCAGCGUCAGCUCCUCCUGGUUCAGCUGCCGGCCCGUGGACUCGCACCGCUGUUCUUUCCUGACGCUCCUACCUGCAGGCUACCUGCCCGUCAGAUUCUGAACUCACCAAACCUUCCCAGAUGGGUAAGUCAAUUCCUUAAAACAAAUCUCUCUAAACAGGCACAUCCUAUUGGUUCAUUUUCUCUGGAGAACCCUGACGAAUGCACCCCCCCACCAACUUCCUUAUUCUUUUCCUUGGUCCUCGUUCAUGUCCUUCAGAAGCCCACACCAGCA